CACGUAGGGGGCAAGCGUUGUCCGGAUUUAUUGGGCGUAAAGAGCUCGUAGGUGGUUCGAUAAGUCGGGUGUGAAACCUCCAGGCUCAACCUGGAGACGCCACCCGAUACUGUCGUGACUAGAGUCCAGUAGGGGAGCGUGGAAUUCCUGGUGUAGCGGUGAAAUGCGCAGAUAUCAGGAGGAACACCAAUAGCGAAGGCAGCUCGCUGGGACGGUACUGACGCUAAGGUGCGAAAGCGUGGGGAGCGAACAGG
rnacentral:rRNA from 1 species